rnacentral:rRNA from 1 species
UACGGGGGGGGCAAGCGUUGUUCGGAAUUACUGGGCGUAAAGGGCUCGUAGGCGGCCAACUAAGUCAGACGUGAAAUCCCUCGGCUUAACCGGGGAACUGCAUUCGAUACUGCCGUGCUUGAGGACUGGAGAGGAGACUGGAAUUUACGGUGUAGCGGUGAAAUGCGUAGAUAUCGUAAGGAAGACCAGUGGCGAAGGCGGGUCUCUGGACAGUUCCUGACGCUGAGGCACGAAGGUCAGGGGAGCAAACGGG